rnacentral:rRNA from 1 species
CUCAAAGAAAUUGACGGGGGGCCCGCACAAGCGGUGGAGCAUGUGGUUUAAUUGGAUGCAGCGCGCAGAACCUUACCUAGAUUUGACAUGGACCGGAAGACUGGCAGAAAUGUCGUCGCUCGCAAGAGCUGGUUCACAGGUGCUGCAUGGGCUGUCGUCAGCUCGUGUCGUGAGAUGUUGGGUUAAGUCCCGCAACGAGCGCAACCCCUAUGUUUAGCUGCCAGCAUUCAGUUGGGCACUCUAGACAGACUGCCGACGUUAAGUCGGAGGAAGGUGGGGAUGACGUCAAGUCCUCAUGGCCUUUAUAUCUAGGGCUACACACGUGCUACAAUGGUCGGUACAGAGGGAAGCAAGAGUGCGAACUGGAGCCAAUCCCAAAAAACCGAUCCAAGUUCGGAUCGAAGUCUGCAACUCGACUUCGUGAAGCUGGAAUCGCUAGUAAUCGUGGAUCAGAACGCCACGGUGAAUACGUUCCCGGGCCUUGUACACACCGCCCGUCACACCAUGAAAGUUGUGCCUACCAGAAGUCGUUGCGUUAACCGCAAGGAGACAGACGCCCAAGGUAGGAACGAUGAUUGGGGUGAAGUCGUAACAAGGUAGCCGUAGGGGAACCUGCGGCUGGAUCACCU